AAAAUAUGAAGGGGUAAAUAAUAUGGAAAGUUGAAGGGAGAGAAGGGGUGGAAGGGAUAUGGAAAAUAUGAAUUAUUUAUAUUUUAAAUUAGUUAAUUUUAGAUAAAGAAUUAAAUUUAAGUUUAGGGGGAAAUUGUGCCAGCAGCCGCGGUUAUACAAUUUAAGCGAAUGAAUUUUUUUAAGGUUGGGGUUUUAUUUAAAUAUUUGUUGAUAAAUUUAUUGAAGAAUUAAGGGUAAAAUUUUUUUUUAGUGGUUUUAAAAAUUAAAUUGAAUUUUAGAAGGUAAAGUUGUAAACUAGGAUUAGAUACCCUAUUAUUUUUAUUGUAUUAAAAGUGGCCUUGGGUAGUAUCAGUUAUUUUCUAAAAACCUAAAAGAUUUGGCGGUAUUUUAUUCUGUUUAGAGGAAUGUGUUUUUGUAUCGAUGGUCCACGAUUAUCUUACUUAUUUUUAUUUAAAUUAGUUUUUGUAUAUCUCCGUCAUUGAUUUUUUUGUAAAGAUAAUUUUCUGUAUAUUUAUAUUGAAAUAAAAUGUCAGGUCAAGGUGCAGAUUAUGAAUAAGUUAAAAUGCAUUACAUUUAAAUUGAAAUUGUUGGAUAGUUUUUUGAAAUGGUAAAAAUUUAAAAUUGGAUUUAAAAGUAAAUUUGAUGAAUUAUAUCUAUUUGAAUGUGUUUUAAGAUAUGUACAUAUCGCCCGUCACUCUCUUUUAAUAAUGAGAUAAGUCGUAACAAAGUAGAUUUACUGGAAAGUAAGUCUUGAAU
rnacentral:rRNA from 1 species